rnacentral:RNase_P_RNA from 1 species
UUGUGGAAAUGGAUAGCUGCUGUUAUUUUAUAUAAUAGAGGAAAGUCCGGACUCCGUGGAGGGAAAGUGCCAGAUAACGUCUGGCGGUGUGUAAUUACACCAGGGAAAGUGCAACAGAAAGUAUACAGCCCUAGGGCAAUGGUGAAAUGGUGAGGUAAAAGCUCACCGCGUAGCUGGUAACAGCUAUGGCAUGGCAAACCCCACUUGGAGCAAGAUCAAGAAGGAUAACGCGCAUCCUCCAGGCUAUGUUAUUCGGGUAGAUCGCUUGACGUUUGCGGUGACGCAAGCGCUAGAUGAAUGGCUAUCGGGACAAUAUGUCCUACAGAAUCCGGCUUAUAGUUUUCACAAAAAC